GUAGCUCAGUGGUAGAGUGCUUGCCUUGCAUGCAUGAGGACCUGGGUUCAAUUCCUCAGC
rnacentral:tRNA from 1 species